rnacentral:rRNA from 1 species
GUCCACGCCCUAAACGAUGUCUACUAGUUGUCGGGUCUUAAUUGACUUGGUAACGCAGCUAACGCGUGAAGUAGACCGCCUGGGGAGUACUGUCGCAAGAUUAAAACUCAAAUGAAUUGACGGGGACCCCGCACAAGCGGUGGAUGAUGUGGAUUAAUUCGAUGCAACGCGAAAACCUUACCUACCCUUGACAUUGUCAGAACCCCGCUGAGAGGUGGGGGUGCUCGAAAGAGAACUUGCACACAGGUGCUGCAUGGCUGUCGU